CUCCCUCCCUCCCUCUCUCUCUCUCUCUCUCUCUCUCAACAUUCUUCCAUCCCUUCUAUUGUUUCAGCUUCUUUUGCGGGGAUGAGCUUCUGGGAAAUUUGGUUGGAAGCAGUGUGCUUUCGGGGGCAGUGAUUAGGGAUUUUCUUUGUUGUUUCGAGCUCUAUUUGCGUUGCAGAAAUUGAUCAAUUUGGGCGAGUAGCAACUAAUUUUCUUCAGUUCAGUGGCGUUUGGGUGCUGCAAGUUGUGUAUGCUGAUUUACAGUGCACAACAAAUUUGGGAAGAGCUGGAAAGGAAAUAUGGAGAAAGCAAAGAAGAGGAGUCUACUUCUACGAAUAUUUUAACUCCAAAGGAUCAAGAGGAGAUAAAUAAUGGGCCUAUAACAUUUAUUAAUGACAAGGCAUCACUCACGGACAGCAGUCCCUCCGGCAAACCACCCGUUCUCCCGUCGACAUCUCACUUGGACUCUCAGGCUCUCCCUCACCAUCACAGUUUUCUACAGCCUCCACCCUCACGAAGCAGCUCUCCACCUCCCACGGCCACAACAGCAACGCCAGAAGAGUUCUCUCCACCAUCGCAGCAGCCUCUUUUCCACUGUCGCUGUCGUCCAUUUUCCUCGCCGUCACCGUCGCCACCCCGCCGUUCACCGUUGUGCCCAUCUCCCUUUCCGUCUCUAUCUUAGUCAUCAGAGCUUAGGCGACCCAGCUCUGUUAGCACACAGAUUUUUUAUUGUGGAGGCCCGUCGAGUAAUCGAAACUAAUGUCCUGGUGUGGGAGCGUAGCGGUCAGUGUACUACGAGAGGUACUUGGGUAAGUACUAGGACUGUACUGGGUGGUCUUUUGGUGGUUUUGGCUGACACCCGAGGUUGUGUGGUAUUUUGUGGAGUUUGACUCCUUUGUAUAGACUCUGGUAUGUUACUAUGUAUGUAUAGAAAAACUUAUUUUUCGUUGUGUAUAUGGUUGCAUAUGAAUGUGUAUAGGGUGCCUGGAAACCCCACGGGGUCAGACUCUCAUUCAUCGUACUGUAUCUUUGGUGAUUUGUGUAAUACAGGGACAUAUUAGAUUACUAUUUCACCCCUGGGUCCCAUUUUCGGGUUCAAGGCGCAAGAGAUUGUUUUUC